rnacentral:lncRNA from 1 species
CUACAGAAAAAAAAGCUUAAGAGAGAAAAGAUGUGUCUUGUAAAAUAUGUAAGAUCGCAAGUUCAUGAUUUAAACGAUUUAGAACUUAAACAAUGAAAUCCUUAAACUGCAAAUGUAAGAAGAAACCCACUCAAUUCCACCCUCCUGAGACCUGUGUUUGGUGCUCGCUCGGGAGAAAUCGCAAAAAAAGAGAAACCUUCAUUUAAGCGAAGAAAUCCCGCACUCAAAUCACUCUCCUGCAAUCUGGAAUUGCGACUGUGUUUGGUACUCAGGGGAAAUCGAAAAUAAAGAGAGAUCAUUUAAAAAAUGAGAUUCCGUGCUCAAAGCUACUCUCCUCCAACCUGGAAGUGUGACUGUGUUUGCUGCUCUGAAGGAAAUCGCCACAAAGAAAUUUUGGUUCCUUUUGUUUCCUAGGGAGCCUGGUCCUUCCACUGAAUGUGAUUGUGAUGCAUUUCCUGUAGCGGGUCCUUCUGAGAGGUUGGAAUCAAGGAAUUGCCAUUUUACUCCUGAGUCUGAUUAUUUCUUGCCUUCUAAUCUCCUUGGAUAUGAUUACUCUUUUGUGUUUGAGAGCUUUCAUUCAUGCUGCAAGUUGUGAGUAUGAGAUCUCAUCAAUUAUUUUAGGUAGGUACUUAGUGCUAUAAACUUUCCUCUUAGAAUAGCUUUCAUUGUGUGUUGUUUUGGUAUAGUAUAUAUUAAUUUUCAUUGAAUUCUAAAAAGUCCUUAAUUUCUUCAUUUUUUUUUCAGUUUUGACCCAUUUUUCACUCAGUAGAGUUGUUUACUUUCCAUGUAUUUGUAAGUUUUGUAAUGUUAUUAAUAUCAAGCUUUAUUACUUUAAGAUCUAAUAGGAUACAGAUAAUUAUUACAAUUACUGGUAAAUGUUGAGACUGAUUUUAUGUCUGACUAUGUGGGCAAUUUUAGAGAAAGUUACAUGCAGUGUUGAGAAGAAUGUAUAUUCCUUUGUGUUUUGGUUUAAUGGUCAUUUAUUACCUGUUUGAUCUGUUUGGUUAUAACAUCUGUAGUUCCAAUACUUCUCUGUUUAAGUUUUUCAGAAUGACCUGUGAACUGGUGAGGGUGGGCUAUUGAAGUCUCCCAUUAUCAGUGUUUGAGAUCAACAAGUGAAUUAAGCUGUAUUUGUCUUUCUUUUACAAACUUGAGUGCUUCUUGUUUUUAAGUCAUACAUGUUAGAGAAGUGAACUGUUUUAGUGCUGUAUUUUUCCUUUGAUGAGUAUGUAGUGUCAUUCCCUAUUUUCUUUUGAUAUCAUUGGUUUGAAGUCCUGUGUUAGAUAUUAAAAUGGCUAUUCCUUCUUGCUAGAUAAGUCAAUUGUUUUUGAAAUAUCCUUUUCUAAAUCUUUACUCUGCAAGGCGUACUGUGAAGUUGCUAGUAUGAGAUAUCUCCAACCAUUUUAUAUAGACAUUUUAUGCUAUGAACUUGCCUCUCAGCAUGGCUUUCAUUGUGUUGCAUGAGUUUGGGUAGGCUGUGUAUUCGUUUUCAUUUAAUUCUAGAAAGUCUGUCCUUGAUAUUAGGACAUUUUUCAUGGAUGCAGCUAAAACU